AUUGAACGCUGGCGGCGUGCUAACACAUGCAAGUCGAACGCGAAAGGGACUUCGGUCCUGAGUAAAGUGGCGCACGGGUGAGUAACGCGUGGAUAAUCUGCCCUUAUGAUCGGGAUAACAGUUGGAAACGGCUGCUAAUACCGGAUACGCUCAAAAUGAACUUUUUGAGGAAAGGAUGGCCUCUGCUUGCAUGCUAUCACGUAAGGAUGAGUCCGCGUCCCAUUAGCUUGUUGGCGGGGUAACGGCCCACCAAGGCAACGAUGGGUAGCCGAUUUGAGAGGAUGAUCGGCCACACUGGAACUGAAACACGGUCCAGACUCCUACGGGAGGCAGCAGUGGGGAAUAUUGCGCAAUGGGCGAAAGCCUGACGCAGCGACGCCGCGUGAGGGAUUGAAGGUUUUCGGAUCGUAAACCUCUGUCAGAAGGGAAGAAACUACGUUGUGCUAAUCAGCAGCGUACUGACGGUACCUUCAAAGGAAGCACCGGCUAACUCCGUGCCAGCCGCAGC
rnacentral:rRNA from 1 species